ACUGCGAGUGAAGAGGGAAGAGCUCAUCAUUGGAAUCUGGCAGUGUUGCACUGUCCGAGUUGUAGAUGAGGAGUAGUCCGUCUGGACUGCAUGGCGUCCAAGUACAAUAGGCCGUCAGUGGGACAUCAUAGAGGGUGACAAUCCCGUCCUUGACGCUAAUGUGCAAGUCUAUUACGAUGGCUAUCUCAGAGAGUCGAGCAGUUUGGGAUUUGCUGCUUAAACAUGGGAGGUAGAUUCCUUCUAAAGCUAAAUACAGGCGAGAGACCGAUAGAGAACAAGUACCGCAAGGGAAAGAUGAAAUAGCACUCUGUGAAGGGAGUCAAAAGGCGUGAAAUUGUUGCGAGAGAAGCGAUUCAAGUCAGCGUAGCUAGGCCCAUCAAGCGUCUUCGCUUUGGACUAGCUUUGCCAGCGGUCUUGUCCCUUAAAGAGACUUGACUUGUAAUAUGUCCAGCCUGGCGUGCACAGGCAGCCCCUUCUGGGGGCCAGUGGCAUGGCUGGUGGAAUGGCUUGCAAUCGACCCGUCUUGAAACACGGACCAAGGAGUCUAACAUGUAUGCGAGUAUAAGGGUGGCAAACCCGUAUGCGCAAUGAAAGUGAUUUUCGGUGAUUGAGAAUGGCCUGAUGACCAGACAAGCAAUACAUGUCCCUCGUACGGCCAUUGCCCAAGUUCCGUGGUAGAUCCCACGAACAUGGAGUUGGAGCAUACAUGCUAGGACCCGAAAGAUGGUGAACUAUGCCUGGACAAAGCGAAGCCAAAGGAAACUCUGGUGGAGGCUUGUAGCGAUUCUGACGUGCAAAUCGAUCGUCUGAUCUGGGUAUAGGGGCGA
rnacentral:rRNA from 1 species